CUCCCGGAGGUGUCAGCACACUCGCCUCUCACUCGGGCUGGGCUCUUCCGAAAGCGCCUGGCUGGGAGCGCGGAGGUGCACACGUGCGCUGAAAAGAGGUUCGAGCCCCGGGCUUGUUUUUCAACAAUACACGGGGAAAAGGCACACUCUCCCAGUUAUCUCUCGGGGGCGCGGACGCCUGCACCUGAGCAGAGGGAUCCGUCCGCGAGGGACGGAGGAGGCGCCCGAAGCGCGGGAGAGACGUUGAGGAAGGGGGCGCGCCGGCGACGAGAGGGCACCCGCGCGGGCCGGGCCCGGCCCGGGUUAGCGGCCGCAGCUCCCGGCUGGGGUUGCGCAGGAAGGCCCGAAGCCCGGGCCCUACUCACCGAAGUCCAGGAACUGCUUCAUGGAGAGCGGGGAUGGCGAGAAGCGCGCGUAGAAGUCCACUUGGCCGGGAACGCCGCGUUCGGGCGCCGGGCCGGAGCCCGAGUCCUCAGGUCUCCUGUCCUCCGCCGAAAAGCUCUAGCACAGGAUCGACAUCCGCUUCCAGGCACCACAGUGUCUUGCUUAGAGCGUGUUCCAGAAACGCUCCAAAAAACAAGCCCAUAUUUUACGGAGGAGCAAACUGAGACCCCCAAAAAUUUUCAGAGCAGACCCUUGCCAAACAGUGGUACAAAAGUACACAUGGUGAUUACUAUAGAGCGUGGCCCUAAAUAAUAGCGCAACGACUCCCGUCCCAAGAGAAGAGAAUUGGCGGCUCAACUUGAAGCUUUAUCUACUGUCAUUCUCCGGCUGGGCAGCAAUGUAUAUAAAGGUUCCCACAGCUCCGACUGCCCUUCUCUUUAACUGUCUUAGCGUCACAGUUUGAUUGCUCCAACCUUUGCAGUCUCCAAAUAGUGAAUAUAAGACUAGAGAAUUUCUAAUUUCGAUUUAAUCGCCCAGAGCUGCGAAGGCUGUCUAUAGUGAAAAUCACCACUGUCCCUUCUUGCCACUGCCCCUCCCUAUAUCUAAUCCUAGUGGUUUGUUAUGUCUUAGAUGCCAACAAAAUUACUUUUCCUUCGGUGUGUAGUUUAAUUUAAAAUAUAUAUUUUAUAUAUUAUACAAUUUUAAGAUUUUAUAUAUAUGUGUAUGUAUAUAUAUAAAUAUUUACAGCAGUUAUUGGUCUAGAAUAACAUUUCUAUUCUCCAUAUUCUGAUCUUGGGUUGUAUAAAAACAUGUGUAAAGAAUGAGGUGAAUGUCUUUUUAGGGUGUAUUAGUGUUACUAAACUGCAUUCAUUUGCCCAGCGUGCAGCUCUGAGAUGCCAAGGUUUGCAGGGGAAAGGUUUAUAAGUCAUGAGGCAGCCAAGAGAGGAGAAGGGAGACCAAAUCUUAAAUUCACCUUCCUUAAGGGAAAGAGCUUGGGAUAUUUAUGGGACAAAGAAGUUGGGUGCCCUGAGGCCUGGGGAAAGGUGACUGGAGAUAAGGAAAAGGUGAAGAAAAUGGCAGGGUGGUAUCAUCUGAGGGUGGAGUGUUUGGCCUUCUGAUGUCAAGAGGUUCUCCAUCCAGCACUCCAGCAGGCCCAGCUGAAUGGUUGGUGGUCUCAACUGAUCUGAACUGGGCAAGACUAGCUCCAUGUUCCUGAAAAACAACUUUUGAAACCUUUACUAUAGUGACCCAUCCAUCAGAGGUACUGCCUCUAGAGGACAGCUAAAGGAGUCACGAUUGUCUAAGCUACCCGACGAAGGGCGUGCAGUGUGCAGGAACAGUGAAGGCAAGUUUGAUCAGUGAAGUUACUGAUAUUACCGAUUAAGCAAAAGUUAUAGUUUAAGGGAUCAAACUGAUGACUGCCCUCAGUUUCAUUAGUCCCACUGGUUUAGCUUGAAGGAAAACACUGACCACCUUUAUGGGUAUAGGUAGUUGAGGGUUGGAGUAGAAGCAAUACUUAAACAUGUUUUCCAAAAGUGGUGCCUCUAAGAAUUCUUUCAGAUAUCUGUUAACCUGGUUGUUGUUACCAUUUUGGUAAAAAUUUCUUAGAGGAAGCAGUAUGAACAUAAGACUAUGAGAUAGGUAGAGAAAGUCGGAGAAGGUAAUGGCACCCCACUCCAGUACUCUUGCCUGGAAAAUACCAUGGAUGGACAAGGCUGGUAGGCCGCAGUCCAUGGGGUCACUAAGAGUCAGACACGACUGAGCAACUUCACUUUCACUUUUCACUUUCAUGCAUUGGAGAAGGAAAUGACAACCCACACCAGUGUUCUUGCCUGGAGAAUCCCAGGGACGGGGGAGCCUGGUGGGCUGCCGUCUAUGGGGUCUCACAGAGUCGGACACCGACUGAAGCGACUUAGCAGCAGCAGCAGCGGAGAAAGUAAUCAAGUCUUUUUUAUUUAUUUGCUGUCCUACCAGCCAUACUCUGUACCCUCUAAGUGUGACCUUCCUUCAUCUAUUCUAUGAAUGUUUGUUGAAAGCACAUUAUGUAAAGUCCAUCAUCGUCGAAGUUUUACACAUAUCUUCAAAUAUUAGACAGCCUGCUCCAUAAAAUAAGGAUUAUGUUUGCUCUGAGUGACCCAGACGGCAGAUGGAAGACUUGGGGAUGGAAACUGUAGGGAGACAGAUCUCACCCUCGCGUGGACAAACUUUGGUUCCAGCCCUUUGACUAUGAAAGGGGCGACUUAGAGGAGGAGGGGGUUCUUAUCAAUGACAGAGACCAAAGGACAGCAUUUUAAGGAGGCUGUGGGGAGGGUGAUAGCAAAGCUGUGUGGUGCUAUGAACACAGCCUGGAUUCUGGUGUCAGAUCCUCUUUCAUGUACUGGAUAUGUGACCUCGAGUGAAUUACCUUUCUGAGCAUCAGCCUCCUUCCCUAGAAAGGGGGGAAACUGGCUGUCUCAUUGGGGGUGACUGUGAAUAGAUAGUGUAGCCAUCUGUGUUAGCACAAUACCCAGGAUAUACUAAACACUCAGAUUCCAUCUUUUUUUUUUUUUAACCAUUACUGCUGUUUUUUAAAAAAAUUAUUUCCUUAUUAGGGUUUAAUCAGAACCGCUCACACACAUUUUUCAUGAAGCAAACUUUACCAAAGGUUUGGUAGAAGACAAUUUACAACUGAACAUUAGCCAUCCUUAAAAUAGUCCUCAACUGUUCCGCAGCUCUCCUGCAGCCUCCAGUCAUGUGGCCUUCCUCCUCCUCCCCUUCCUUCCAGAUUACUCCCUGAGCUCUGAAUUCUCCUCACACUGUCGUACACAGUAUAAUCGGCUUCCUCAGCCUCAAUUUGGAACUCUGCUGCUUUCCACCCGAGCAUGUUGAGGUGCUCAACUGAACAUUAACUUGUGUGAAAGUACAAAGGUGAGGCAGAAAGCUUGGGAUUCAUUGUGUCAAGGUUCAUUCACCCAAAAACCAAUCCAAGUUUUCUUUUCUUCAAAGUAUAUUCACCAAACUUCCACCCAACUUAUAGCAAAUGAGUAUAUAAAAACAGAUACAAAAUUGCAUCAGCUUUUCACUUCUUGGUCAAAGGCUGAGGAUCCAGAAACUGGAGAGAAUGUUAGAUAUUUUUUAGAUAUCUGUUAGAUUGAUGGUUAUUAAGACUGUGGUAAAAAUAUUUUAGAGGAAGUGAUAUGAAUUAAUAAGAUAUGAAUGAAGUGAUAUGAAUACAUAAGAUAUGUAUUCAAAGGUAGAAAGUGAUCAAAGGGUGGAAUAUCUUUCAUGAAUUUUUACCAAAGGGCUAUAUUAUUUAACUAUGUGCAUAUAAAGUAUAAUUGUAAUUUAAGGCUCUCUAAAAACUUCUUUAUAACAGACUUGGGUGGAUUCUCUAAAUUCACUGAGAUUGUGUGAUUAUUGUCGGAUUGAUUUGGCUGAAAAUCAUGUAAAGCAAUAGGAAGCAAACUGAACUAUGCCACCCUGUCUCCUUUAUCCUGUGGCUUCAUGGGGCUCAGAGGACAAGAGGAGAGAAAAGUGAUUAUUCAUUCUCCUGCUUCUUCCUGCUGGGCCAUGACUUGUGUCCCUUUUAAGUAUGGCCAUAGCUCCCUUCCUGUGCCCAGGGAGCCCUAGAGGCGGUACCAGGUUCCCUCUCCUGCUGAUUGGGGUGCUUCACUAUCUCCAUCUCUACUCUGCCCACACCUCUGCAAACAGUCCCUGAAAACACUCUUCAGUUUCCCCUUAGAGUACCAUACCAUUUCCUGCCCCAGAACCCUGACUGCUGCUUUACAAAGGUAACUUUCAAAAGACAUAAAAUCAUGUCUUUCAUGCAACUGCAAAAUGAACACAUCUCUAUCACGGUGUGUACUACUUUUAUCAAUUAUAUCUCAUUGAAGCUAAAAAAAAUAAAAUGAACACACUAAAAUUUUAAUUAACACUUUCAUUAAAUUAGAGACUCAGAAAAGAUACUACAACCAGUUCAAAGGGGAAGGCAAAAAAAAAAAAUAGGAUUACAGAAAUGAAUUUGUAAAGGGUUACAAAACUGGCUUUUCCCCUUAGGAGUCAGGAACCCUCCACCUCUAACUGAUAGAACAUAUUUGCCUGGAUAUAGGCAAGAAUAUAGGUUUUUACAGGAGUCAUGUACAGAUGUGAGAGUUGGACCAUAAAGAAGGCUGAGUGUCAAAAUAUUAUUGCUUUUGAAUUGUGGUGCUGGAGAAGACUCUUAAGAAUCUCUUGGACAGCAGGGAAAUCAAACCAGUCAAUCCUAAAGGAAAUCAACCCUGAAUAUUCAUUGGAAGGACUGAUGCUGAAAGCUCCAAUACUUUGGCCACCUGAUGUGAAGAGUCAACUCAUUGGAAAAGACCCUGAUGCUGGGAAAGACUGAGGGGAGGAGAAGGACUGGCAAUCUGUUUCACAUAUGGUAAUAUACAUAUUUCAAUGCUAUUCUUUCAAAUCAUCCUACCCUUGCCUUCUCCUAGAGUCCAAAAGUCUGUUCUUUACAUCUGUGUCUCUUUUGCUGUCUCGAAUAUAGGGUCAUUGUUUCCAUCUUUCUAAAUUCCAUAUAUAUGCGUUAAUAUACUGUAUUGGUUUUUUUCUUUCUGACUUACUUCACUCUGUAUAAUAGGCUCCAGUUUCAUCCACCUCAUUAGAACUGAUUCAAAUGCAUUCUUUUUAA
rnacentral:lncRNA from 1 species